UGCUCUGUAGUUGAAUAAAAACAACGGUAAAUUGCAAGUUUACAGGUGUAGUAAUACUAGGGUAU
rnacentral:tRNA from 1 species